AUACGUAGGUGGCAAGCGUUGUCCGGAUUUACUGGGUGUAAAGGGCGUGUAGGCGGAGAUGCAAGUCAGGAGUGAAAUCUAGGGGCUCAACCCCUAAACUGCUUUUGAAACUGUAUCCCUUGAGUAUCGGAGAGGCAGGCGGAAUUCCUAGUGUAGCGGUGAAAUGCGUAGAUAUUAGGAGGAACACCAGUGGCGAAGGCGGCCUACUGUACGAAAACUGACGCUGAGGCGCGAAAGCGUGGGGAGAAAACAGGAUUAGAUACCCUGGUAGUCCUCACUGUAAACGAUGAAUACUAGGUGUGGGGGGACUGACCCCCUCCGUGCCGCAGUUAACACAAUAAGUAUUCCACCUGGGGAGUACGAUCGCAAGAUUGAAACUCAAAGGAAUUGACGGUU
rnacentral:rRNA from 1 species